rnacentral:rRNA from 1 species
GGUUGCCCCGCAAGGGGUAACUGAGUGGCGAACGGGUGAGUAACACGUGGGUGACCUACCUUCGAGUGGGGGAUAACGUCCCGAAAGGGACGCUAAUACCGCAUAACAUCCUGCCUUUGAACAGGCGGAGAUCAAAGCCGGGGAUCGCAAGACCUGGCGCUUGAUGAGGGGCCCGCGUCCGAUUAGCUAGUUGGUGAGGUAAUGGCUCACCAAGGCAACGAUCGGUAGCCGGCCUGAGAGGGCGGACGGCCACACUGGGACUGAGACACGGCCCAGACUCCUACGGGAGGCAGCAGUGGGGAAUUGUUCGCAAUGGGCGCAAGCCUGACGACGCAACGCCGCGUGGAGGAUGAAGGUCUUCGGAUUGUAAACUCCUGUUGCCCGGGACGAAUAGCUCCAACCUAAUACGUUGGAGUAUGACGGUACCGGGUGAGGAAGCCCCGGCUAACUCUGUGCCAGCAGCCGCGGUAAUACAGAGGGGGCAAGCGUUGUUCGGAAUUACUGGGCGUAAAGGGCGCGUAGGCGGCCUGCUAAGUCGAACGUGAAAUCCCUGGGCUCAACCCAGGAACUGCGUCCGAGACUGGUUGGCUUGAAUCCGGGAGAGGGAUGUGGAAUUCCAGGUGUAGCGGUGGAAAUGCGUAGAUAUCUGGAGGAACACCGGUGGCCGAAGGCGGCAUCCUGGACCGGCAUUGACGCUGAGGCGCGAAAGCCAGGGGAGCAAACGGGAUUAGAUACCCCGGUAGUCCUGGCCCUAAACGAUGAAGG